AAUGAACGCUGGCGGCAGGCCUAACACAUGCAAGUCGAACGCCCCGCAAGGGGAGUGGCAGAAGGGUGAGUAACGCGUGGGAACAUAUCCUUUUCUACGGAAUAGCUCUGGGAAACUGGAAUUAAUACCGUAUACGUCCUACGUGGUAAAGAUUUAUCGGGGAAGGAUUGGCUCGCGUUGGAUUAGCUAGUUGGUGGGGUAAAGGCCUACUAAGGCGACGAUACAUAGCUGGUCUGAGAGGAUGAUCAGCCACAUUGGGACUGAGACACGGCCCAAACUCCUACAGGAGGCAGCAGUGGGGAAUAUUGGACAAUGGGCGCAAGCCUGAUCCAGCCAUGCCGCGUGAGUGAUGAAGGCCUUAGGGUUGUAAAGCAAUUUCACCGAUGAAGAUAAUGACGGUAGUCGGAGAAGAAGCCCCGGCUAACUUCGUG
rnacentral:rRNA from 1 species